rnacentral:tRNA from 1 species
GGGCCGGUAGCUCAGUCGGUAGAGCAGCAGACUUUUAAUCUGUUGGUCGAGGGUUCGAUUCCCUCCCGGCUCA